GACGGGGGGGGCAAGUGUUCUUCGGAAUGACUGGGCGUAAAGAGCUCGUAGGCGGUUUGUCGCGUCUGCCGUGAAAGUCCGGGGCUCAACUCCGGAUCUGCGGUGGGUACGGGCAGACUAGAGUGAUGUAGGGGAGACUGGAAUUCCUGGUGUAGCGGUGAAAUGCGCAGAUAUCAGGAGGAACACCGAUGGCGAAGGCAGGUCUCUGGGCAUUAACUGACGCUGAGGAGCGAAAGCAUGGGGAGCGAACAGG
rnacentral:rRNA from 1 species